rnacentral:rRNA from 1 species
UACAUGUGGGGCGAGCGUCGUCCGGAAUCACUGGGCGUAAAGGGCGCGUAGGCGGCCUGGUAAGUAGGGGGUGAAAUCCUGCGGCUUAACCGCAGGGCUGCCUUCUAAACUGUCAGGCUCGAGCACAGUAGAGGCAGGUGGAAUUCCCGGUGUAGCGGUGGAAUGCGUAGAGAUCGGGAAGAACAUCAGUGGCGAAGGCGGCCUGCUGGGCUGUUGCUGACGCUGAGGCGCGACAGCGUGGGGAGCAAGCAGG